rnacentral:rRNA from 1 species
UACGGAGGAUGCAAGCGUUAUCCGGAAUGAUUGGGCGUAAGCGUCCGCAGGUGGCUGUGUAAGUCUGCUGUCAAAGAGCGAAGCUCAACUUCGUAAAGGCAGUGGAAACUACACGGCUAGAGUAGCGUUCGGCGGAGAGGAGUACUCGGUGUAGCGGUGAAAUGCGCAGAUAUCGGGAGGAACACCGGUGGCGAAGGCGGUUCUCUGGCCUGUUCUGACGCUGAGGAGCGAAAGCGUGGGGAGUGAACAGG